rnacentral:rRNA from 1 species
GUCGAACGAUGAAGCCCUUCGGGGUGGAUUAGUGGCGAACGGGUGAGUAACACGUGGGCAAUCUGCCCUGCACUCUGGGACAAGCCCUGGAAACGGGGUCUAAUACCGGAUACGAGCCUCCUGGGCAUCUGGGAGGUUGGAAAGCUCCGGCGGUGCAGGAUGAGCCCGCGGCCUAUCAGCUUGUUGGUGAGGUAACGGCUCACCAAGGCGACGACGGGUAGCCGGCCUGAGAGGGCGACCGGCCACACUGGGACUGAGACACGGCCCAGACUCCUACGGGAGGCAGCAGUGGGGAAUAUUGCACAAUGGGCGCAAGCCUGAUGCAGCGACGCCGCGUGAGGGAUGACGGCCUUCGGGUUGUAAACCUCUUUCAGCAGGGAAGAAGCGAGAGUGACGGUACCUGCAGAAGAAGCGCCGGCUAACUACGUGCCAGCAGC